rnacentral:lncRNA from 12 species
AAAAACAAACAUGUCUACUUCAGUUCUUGAAGGGGAAUUAGUUGUAAAGCACGGAACACAUGCUACUUUAAGUUGCCUACUCCACUGCAGAAGUUAAAGUUAAGUAUCAGUAAGCAAUCUGGGAUUAAUUUCCAGUGCUCCCUACACAGGGGCACAGCCUAGCCCCUGGCCGGAAAUAGCUGGGGUGGGGACUGUCCAGACUUUCUCUUGUCAUUCGGGCGAGGAGCCCCCACCUACAGGUCUGUGCUUCAGCUGGCGUGGGCUCAGGGCUGACAUGCUCAUGGCAAGAUAAGCUCCCAGUCCGUCCAUCUGCAACUUCUCACAGCUCCCCGAGCCCCUCCCGGCUCUCAGCUUCACGGGCCAGUCAUCCUCCAAGGAUAUAUUCGUCCCUGAUUGGCGACUGCAGAGCUCCAUGGAACGGGGGCCCUCUGAGAACGUCCCUGGCAUUUCUGAAGUCUCCAUGGCUAGGAGAGAGAAAACCUCACCUUGGAUGAUUCCGGGUCAAGCCUUUAGUAAAGUUCUGCUCACAUUCGUCCCAGUCUCGGCAGUGUUUUGAAGAAGAGCCUGUGUCGUCUGGGGCGGCAUGGACAGCAGGGAUAGCAGCCACUUCCAGAGUUGGCCGUAAAUGCCCCAAGAGAUUUUCUUUGUGCCGCUUCCCCUACCUGUGUGGAUGGAAGGAGAAGACCUCAAGAUGCUGGAAUCUCUUGAUGGAAUGAUCCUAAAUCACUGCCAUUACUUGGAUGAAGACUUGGCAGAAUGAGCAGCCUCUCGUUGGACUUUGCAUGAACAGGAGACAAAUUGUUCUUGUUCGAAGGCACUGUGAUCUGAGGGGGGUAUAUUCAUGACUACGGUAUAAUGCGGCGUUGUCUAAUACAAGCUUGGAAGGGUUAAUACUGAGAAGGAGUCUAAGAAAACCGUCUUUAGAUGCCAGUACCUGAAGGACCAUGUGCCCCAGAGACACAGUUCAUGUCCUCUAAAGGCCGGUGGGGAAACUGGUUCUGCUUUGUAGUUAGGAGUUAGGAUUUUCUCCCCGAUCCUGGAAUGACUUCUCUUGGGUAGGAGCAAACUGGUGUCAUUGGUGGUAUUUGUUUGGAAACUGGAUCAUCAUUUGGGGGUGGGGGUGGGGAUAUACCUGGGAUAAGUUAGCGGAGAGAAAAUUGGAUCUCAUGACCUCUAUGGUACACUCCAGCACUGAUGUCUAAUGUCUGAUCUAGCAGUGUCCUGAGAAUUGUUGAGUUAAAGCUGAUGGAAUUGAAAUCCUACCAUUUCUCCAGGUUAUUAGGUACCAUUGUGACCUCGGGGUGGGUGCCAGCCAACGCUGUUGUC